GUUUCUAUAGUUAAAGUUUAACGGCAGCUUUUCAGGCUGCAGAUCUCAGAGAGAGGCUGAGUGGAAACC
rnacentral:tRNA from 1 species